rnacentral:lncRNA from 1 species
CCCUUGUGGCUCAGCAUGUUACAAAGCCAACUAGGAUCCAUGAGAAUGCAGGUUCCAUCCCUGGCCUCGAUCUGUGGGUUGAGGAUCCAGCGUUGCCAUGAGCUGUGGUGUAGGUCGAAGACGCGGCUUGGAUCUGGCAUCGCUGUGGCUCUGGCAUAGGCCGGCAGCUAUAGCUGUGAUUGGACCCCUAGCCUGUGAACCUCCAUAUGCAUGGGUACAGCCCUAAAAAGCAAAAAAAAAAAAAAAAGAAAGAAAAAGAAAGAAAGAAAAAAGAAAAAGAAGAAGAAAAGAAAAAAGAGAGAGGGAACAGAUGGAUUUUAGGGCAGUGAAACUACCCUGUGUGAUACUUGGCAUAAACCGUGGACCCUGAUAAUUAUGAUAUAUCCAAGUAGGCUUAUAGAUUGUAACAAAUGUACCACUUGGUGGGGAAUGUUGAAAACAGAGGAGGCUGUGCAUGUGAGGGGGCAAGGGAAAUACGCGAAAUCUCUAUACUUCCUGAUCAGUUUCACUGUGAAUCUCAAACUACUCUAAAAAUCAAUCUAAAGAGUCCAUGAAAGUGUUACAGCAGUUGUAUGUAUUUCACCAUUUUGUUUGAAGGUGACAGAUUGUGCAUCACGCAGCAGCCUUGGUCUUGGUGACACUGAGUUUGUGUAUAGGCAGUUCCUGAGACUGCUCUGCAAAGCCCUCGGUGGCCUGUGCCCUCCACUGCAUUUCUCUACUCCUGGGUCGCGAGGCUCCUCUGCCUUUCCAUUCUCUAAUCCUUCCUGGCUCAUUCCUGCCUCAGGGCCUUUGAACCAGCUGCUUCUUUGGCCUGGAGUGUUCUUCUUCCAUGCCCGCUCCCUGCUAUUAUGAGCAUCCCUUCAAAGAGGCUGCCUAACCACUUGCUCUAAGUCAGCCAUGCCAGCCUUGCUCUGAUUCUGACUUCUCUCAGUGGCAUUUAUCACAAUCUUCUUAUUUAUCUAUCUUCUUAUUUAUCUCCUUGUUAGAAUGUGAGCAUUGUGAGGGAAGGGAAUCUGCCUGCCUUCCUUCCUCCAUCUCUGAACAGGUCUAUCAGGUAUUUAGUACAUGUUAGCUAGUGGAAUGCAUGGCCAAGGUGCAUUUCUCCUCCUGAAAUGCUGGUGCCUGUUAGAGCCAGUGUUCUCCUGGUGACUCUUCCAGGGGGCAGUGUAUAGAGCGCACCCCUUCACCCUCUCCCCCAGAAAACCAGCAGAACACAGCAAAGCAUCACUCUUAUUUACCCUCUCACUUUCUCUGCCUUUUAGUGCCACCCUCCUUUGCCCCUGCCACUCUUCGCAGAAAAGAUCUGUUCCAGAACUGAGUGUUGACUGCUGCAGGGACUACGGUGGGGUUUGCUGUGCUCCCAUCUGCAGACAGUGGGUUUCAUGCUUCCUGGUGCUGGAUCCUAAGAAUGAUUUGCAUCUCCUGAAGGUUGGUUGUCCUGAAACUUCUCUGCUAUCAUCUCUUUUCUAGUUAAGACAUUUCAAAAAUGCCUUAACUCUGGGAAUUUCUAUUUUAUCCUCAGGAGAGACUUAGAUUUCAGACUGUUUCAGGUGAAUAGAUGUUUCCCCACUCAUUGGAUUGUUGUCCUAAAUGACAGCCAAGGAAAGCGGUGACACCAAAAACUUCCCACCAUCUUUGUGGUACUGCCAAAAGACGACACUCGGUAACUGCCUCGGCCAUGCACUAUGAAAAAUUAGUGACACUAAAAUCUAAGAAAUAUCAGGCACCAACAUUACUGAAAUGAUUACUAGCAAAGCUAGUCUGAUUCUAUAGCUAUUUAAACCAAGGUUAAAGAGUUGUAGUAGUUAUAACCCAUUCUCUGCCCACCGUAGAGGAAGGAAGGUUUUGCAUUUAUGAUUGAUAUUGUUUGACUCAAUUCACUGCCUAGACUAACUUGAAUUUAAUUCUGAGGAUAACUUUAUUCUUAAAUAUAAAAAUAGCAGUUCAUUUUUUUUUUUUUGUCUUUUUGUCUUUUCUAGGGCUGCACCCGCAGCAUAUGGAGGUUCCCAGGCUAGGGGUCUAAUCGGAGCUAUAGCUGUCAGCCUACACCACAGCCACAGCAACGUGGAAUCCAAGCCGCAUCUUCGACCUACACCACAGCUCAUGGCAACGCUGGAUCCUUAGCCCACUGAGCAAGGGCAGGGAUCGAACCGGCAACCUCUUAGUUCCUAGUCAGAUUCGUUAACCACUUGAGCCACAACAGGAACUCCAAAAACAGCAGUUCACUUUUAAUGCAAAAGAUUUUUUGCUUCUUCUCUACAGCUAUGAUCACCUUAUGACUGAGACUCAGUCGACUCUUUUGAUGGACAUUUUUUUUUAUCAUUACCAAUUAAUGCAGUACUGGAGCUCCCUUGUG